UGAGUAUUUUGCUGGCACGUAAUCUGUGCAUCGUGUGUGUGCUUGGUCAGAAGAAAGCACCAGAUCCCUUGGCCCUGGAGUUGUCAGAUGCUAUGUAUUUGCUAGGAAUUGAACCUGAGUCAAUUACUUGACAGCAACAGGACACUCACAGGAUAAACAGGUACGUGCGAUGUGCCUGUAUGCACAUUUUUUGGGGGCAGUUGGUAUCCAUCGGGAAUGAUCACAAAUGACUUAAGCUUUAAUUGUUACAGCUUUGCUCUUUCUUCGUCUUUUCUCUUUUAAUUUUAAUUUUUGUGGUGCUAGGGAUCAAACCCAGGGCUUCCUGCAUUUGAGGCAAUGUUCUACCACUGAGUUAUCCCUCCAAGUCCAUGAUGGAACUCUUGAUUGACAAGGUUACCAUACCUUUACGACAAAUGUUGGGUUCUCAUUUCCCAUCCAGUGGAUUUUCACAGUUUUGUUGACUUCCAUUCUCUUUUUUAGAUUUAUUUAUUUUAUUGUCCAUGUAUGAGUGUUUUGCCUGCAUGUAUCACAUGCAUGGCUGGUGCCCCCACCGUUCAGAAGAUGGUAUCAGAUACCCUGGAACUGGAGUUAUAGGUGGUUAUGAGCCACCAUGUGGGUUCUGGGAACCAAACCCAGGUCCUCCACAAGAACAAAAAGUACUCCCAACCACUGACCCAUAACUCCAGCUGUCUCUUCCAUUUUUCCUUGAUUCUGUACUUGUUGGCUUUCCCAGCAGGAACCAACAGUGAGGUCUCUGAAGGUAUAAAACAGCCUGUGUGACAAUAUUAUCAUUCUUUCUCUUGAGGGGAUUGGUAUCAGCCUUUACUUUUGGAGGAGCACAGCUCUGGCUAGUGUGCAUCCAGCAUGUGGAGCCUCCCCAGCAAUGACCGAGGACGGACUAUCAGGGCAGAGUACUGUUCGAGCAUUACAGCACACACAGCCUAUGAGAAAGGCCUGUGAAUUCAGUGGUGUCCCGGGCUCUUUAUAAUGGCCUUCACCAAGGAACCAGAGAAUAAUUAUCUCAGAAGGAACAGACAGCAGGCCAAGAUCAAAGAAAAUCGUCUGUCAGGUUCUAAUUUGGUUUACCUCCUACCCGGUGCUCAGGGGCUCGGAUCCUCAUAGAGUACAUGUGCCAGACAUUCUAUGGAAAUCAGAGUAAAGACUCCAAAGAUGUUCAAGGCUUAUCCCAGGAACUGUAAAUGUCAUCUUAUCUAGCAGAAGGGAUAUUGCAGAAGCAAUUAAGGAUCUUGAGAUGGGAAGAAGAUCCUGGAUUGUAGGGGUGGACCUAAUCUCAACUCAGGGAGCCUCAGCUAUGAAAGGAGUGAGGCCAGAGAGCUGCCAUCAAAGUAAUGCAUCAAGACUCAUCUGGCUGUGGCAGGCUUUGAAAAUGGAAAGAGGCCAAUGAGUCUAGGAAUUCAACAGCCUUUAGAAGGUGGGAAGAGCCACGAAAGGGAUUCUUCUGAGAGCCUCCAGAAGGAAUGUAGCCCCAUUGCCAUGAUGCUUUCUGUCUCCUGGGACUACAUCAGACAUCUGACCACUGAAUAUGCUACAACGACACCUCUAUGUUGUUUCAGCUACCAUUUCCACGAAACUAUAUUACAGUCCCAGUGGAAAAGCACCAUGGGUCCCACUCUCAAACUCAUGUUCAUUCACUUUGGUGUGCUUCAGAUUGUGGAAGUCAGCAAAAAUUGUUUCUCUUGAUGAUUUAAGAGUUUUCUCUAAAUUAAUUAAGGGGCUAGGUGGUUUAAGAAGAUAAAUGAUAGGACCAGGGAUCUAGUUCAGUUGCUAGAAUGUCUUGCCUUGGAAGCGUAAGUGUGUGGGUUUGAUACAAGCACCAUAAAACUCUUUUCUGACACACACACACACACACACACACCCCAGAAAGAAGGAAAAGGAAUGUUAAUACCAAUAACGUCAGCACACACAGGGACACAGCAGCAAAACUAACUUGCUUUGGUGCGAUUCUUCAUUAAACACUUCAGAUGCAACAUGAUGCUGAUAGUAUCAGAGCUGACAAGAGAUUAAAACGAUCAGGAACAAAGAAGAAGAUUUACUUUUUGAAAUGAGGAAUUGUUUUUUAUAUUAUAUCAGAACAAUUAUUACUGAUUCAUUCUUUUUUCAGAUAGGGUCUCACUAUGUAGCCUUAGCUGGCCAGGAUCAGGCUGGCCUCAAACUUACAGAGAUCUGCCUCAGCCUCCUUAGUGUUGGGAUUAAAGAUGUAUGCCACCAUUCCAGGCUUUUAUCUUAUUUUUAUCUAGUUUAUUUUAUUUUUUUUGCAACAGGGUCUCAUAUAGUCCAGGCUGGCCUUGAAGUUGCGAUGUUGCUGCAAGGACUUUGAAUUUCUCAUCUUCCACCCCCGGAAUGCUGAGGUUACAGGCCUGUGCCAUCCCACCUGUAUGGAUGGAACCCGGGGAUUUGCGCAGCCUAGGCACAUGCUCUACCAACUGAGCUACAUGUGUGGUCCCUAGAAUAGUUCCUAGGCUUUGGACACGUCAGCCCUUGUUAGAAAAUGACAUAAAAUUAUCACAAUGAAAAAGCACUUUUAAAAACACUAAGUAUUUACACUGUAGCUAGGAAUUAACAAUGGGUGAUGAAACUAACAAAGGAAAAAAAACCUGAGAAGUCAAUGCCAAAAAUAUAAGCAAAAUGUGUCAUUUUAGAAAGUGAAGUAUAUCUGUAUAAGACUAACGAAAACCAAGGGCCAACAGAAUAUUCGAAGAAAUUUGGACUAAAUAGCAGUUGUGUGACAAUAACUGUGAUGAUCACACGCCUACGAGGCCUUUAAAAUGUAGUCGAAUGGCUAGACAGAAUUAUUUCCUUUCUAAAAAGACUGGUUAGUAGUUUACAAACUAUCAAUCCCUUGGUUCAUGCAGAAGCUCCAAGACCUAAAAUCAGACAUAGAUUUGAGAUGCAAGGUAGAAAUCCAACAUCAUGAAGGGAAGCAGAGAGAGGGUGGCCUGAGAACGCAUGGACCUCAACCAUCUCAAGAAAAGAAAAGCAUGAAUCUAACUGCUGAAAAGCUGUAAAAAGAGAACAGAAGACCAUUUCAGAGUUUGUGGAAAGCUGUGGACAGUGUCUCAGAGUAAAGUUUUGGAUGUUAUUGUG